rnacentral:rRNA from 1 species
CGAAAGCCUGACGGAGCAAGACCGCGUGGGGGAGGAAGGCUCUUGGGUUGUAAACCCCUUUUCUCAGGGAAGAAGUUCUGACGGUACCUGAGGAAUCAGCCUCGGCUAACUCCGUGCCAGCAGCCGCGGUAAUACGGAGGAGGCAAGCGUUAUCCGGAAUUAUUGGGCGUAAAGCGUCCGCAGGUGGCUAGUCAAGUCGGUGGUCAAAGCACAGGGCUCAACUCUGUAAAGGCCGGCGAAACUGACAGGCUAGAGUGCGGUAGGGGCAGAGGGAAUUCCCGGUGUAGCGGUGAAAUGCGUAGAUAUCGGGAAGAACACCAGUAGCGAAAGCGCUCUGCUGGGCCGCAACUGACACUGAGGGACGAAAGCUAGGGGAGCG